AGGUCCGACCGCGAGUUUCACACGCCUAUCAAUAAUGCAGUCAAAAGGCAUUAUCUCCAUCCCUAGGCCAACAUAUCACACAUCCCAUAAGAGCAUCAUCUAUUCUGGUUCCAGAAAAUUGAGGAUGUCAUAUUCGUGUUACUACAACAACGAGAGCAUGAUCAAACUCCUCAAGUCGUAGGCGGGGAAGUUCCUGCGGAAGCAGUUUGCUGAUGCUCGAAACCAGUUGAUCCGACUGUUGUGGCUGGCCAAGGAGAUCUGGCUCCAACUCCUGGAGCUUUAGUCGAGCCCAAAGUUCCAGAAACAAUCGGCCAAAAAUAAGGUCAAUCGGGUAGCAAAUCCGGAAGCAGCUGCAAUCGUCUACCAUGGGGCCGUCGUCAUCGAAUGGUGCGCACAAGUGGAAGAUGGAGGCACAACUCGGAUGCCCCGUCACUCAGAUGGAGGUGUUCGAGAAGGUCUACAAAAAGAAGGAGGACGACCAGUAGAGCAGCCCGAGGGCGGAGGAGGUCGCGGAGAUGUUCUUGAGGAUGAUGGAGGAACAGAGACAGAAGAACAAUAAUGAAGAGCCUCCAUUGUCUUCACAAGGCUCUGUGGCCUCGGACGACCAGCAAGUCUGGAUAUUAGCAGCGGGUGGCUGGAAGAGGGGCCGAGUAUUUGGCCUCGGCUUCGAGGCCCACCACUCGAUUGUUGGACCAUCUCAGGCUAUCCAGUUGACUACUCCCUCGCCUUCGCCUUCGCCCUCGCCACCACAACCGCAGCGCCCUGACAUAGAUGAUCGGAUGUUGGCAAUGGAGCGCUACAUCGGAAGUGUCGAUCGCAACUGGCCCGAUUAUCCCGCGCUCGAGCCUCUAGUUGAUCCCCCGG